GUGGCCUGCAUUAUAUUGCCAUUGGGCAGGCUGAUCUAGGGCUUGCAUGCCUGUGAUCCUUAGGUGCACCCUGUGAGGUAGGUGCUUUAACUGUGUGCACCCUGUGAGGUAGGUGCUUUAACUGUGUGCACAUUGUGAGGUAGGUGCUGAAACUGCUUCCUGUUUUUUUUUUUCUUUUGAGACGGAGUCUCACUCUGUCUCCAGGCUGGAGUGCAGUAGUGCGACCUGGGCUUACUGCAAUCUCCGCCUCCCAGGUUCAAGUGAUUCUCCUGCCUCAGCCUCCCGAGUAGCUGGGAUUACAGGGGCACGCCACCACACUCAGCUAAUUUUGUAUUUUUAGAAGAGACGGGGUUUCACCAUGUUGGCCAUGAUGGUCUCGAUCUCUUGACCUUGUCAUCCGUCCGCCUUGGCCUCCCAAAGUGCUGGGAUUACGGGCGUGAGCCACCGUACCCAGCCUGCUUCCUGUUUUAACAGACGAAGAAAUGGAAUAACUUCCAACAAGUUGGAGCUGAAGUUGUGCCCAGGCUGGGAAUGGAGGAAGGACGUGCUCGGGAGAAGGUGAAGAUGGGAGAGAAGCAAGAUCUUCUGUGUUUGGACCAAGGACACAUUUCCUUACUCCAUAGCAGCUGUGGUCAGUGGCUUAGCUCGGACAAGGAGAUGAGAGCCCAUGUGUUGUGAGGGUUCUUCUGGGAACUCUGAGAAGGCAGGAGCCGCCCUUCACUGCCUCUCUUCCAUUCUGCAGCAUGGAAUAUGGAUGUGUGGUCUGGAUGUACAGACACCAUUUUGGACCAUAAAGACAAGGACGAUUGUCUAAGGAUGACACAGCCAGAGCACUGAGAGUGGCGAG
rnacentral:lncRNA from 1 species